rnacentral:misc_RNA from 1 species
UUUUGGCGUAUUGCGAUGAAUGAAUCACAUGACAAACGACUGCGUUCGUGCAAGCGAUACGCAAUUGCGAAUUAGGUUCUCGUGGUUUUUCGUAGAAUCCACGUUCAUUUGCUAUAUUUUGACAUUGAUGUUGGAACAACAAAGCCACGCAAAAACGCUUUGUCGCGGUUAUUUUUACAGCGGAAUUGAUAUAUUUCGCGCGCAAAACGCUCUUAAAAUAGAGCGUGGCGGCGUGCGAUGUACUCUCCGCACAUACUGACGAGUGACGAACAUGAGUUUUGAGGUUACCACAGCGACUCUGAAAGAUUUCAGUUAAUUGUUGAAGAAUUAAGAUUCGUUGAAGACGUGGGAGCCCACGAAAAUGGACAUCGCAUGCGAGGUGAUAGAAGACUCGCUGAUGAAACGGAUUUAUUAUUCGGCUCGGGAAGGAAUGGCAAUCGCUCUUUAUACCUUACUCAGCGAUAAAUCGGACGCCGAUGUCGAUUAUCUGAUUAACCAGAAAGUUCUGGAAGAUGAUGGCCAAAGAUGUACACCUUUGAUAGUCGCAGCACGUUAUGGACACAAUAAGGUUGUUAGAAUGUUACUUGAGAAAUUUAAACCUGAUUUAGAGCAGGAGGGAACAGUAAAAUUUAAUGGAUAUGUCAUCGAAGGAGCUAGUGCGCUUUGGGCUGCAGCAGGAGCAGGACAUUUGAGCGUCCUGAAAACUCUUGUGAAAGCUGGAGCCAAUGUUAAUCAUCCAACAAAAACCAAUUCUACCCCUCUUCGAGCGGCAUGUUUCAAUGGACGUUUAGAUAUUGUUAAAUAUUUGACUGAUCAUCAAGCGGAUAUAAAUAUUCCCAACAUGUUCAACAACACCUGUCUCAUGAUAGCAUCAUACAAAGGACAUCUGGAUAUUGUUAAUUUUUUGUUGGACAAAGGAGCGGAUCCUAAUAAGAAGGCGUAUUGCGGAGCGACGGCGUUACACUUUGCCGCAGAAUGCGGGCACAGUACUAUUGUCUGCGAAUUGUUGAAAUAUGGAGCAAAGAUGACGAAGAGCGUAAGUGGCAUGACACCUUUAAUAACGGCCGCCGAGCGAACACGGGCGGAGGUUGUGGAAUGCUUAGUACAAAGGCAAGAAGUAACAAAGGAGGAGAUAAUAGAGGCUUAUGAAUUACUUGGGGCAUCAUACGCUAAUGAUAAAGAUAGUUAUUGCUUAACUAAGGCAUAUAAAUAUCUGCACCAGGCGAUGGAAUUAAGAUAUAGCGAUACUAAUAAUAUUGUAUAUAAGCAACUAGGUUCAACCGUGCAGGCAUACGAGAACUGGAAGGAAUGCGAAACGCUAGAAAGAUUAGAAAGUAUAAAAAAUAACUCCAAUGCCAUACACAUGGAAUCGCUGGCUAUUCGCGAAAGAAUAUUAGGUCGCCAUAAUCCAGAACUGCCACAUCCUAUAGUAUUCAGAGGUGCGAUAUUUGCGGAUAAUGCUAGAUUCGACAGAUGCAUAGACUUGUGGUUACACGCGUUAAAACUAAGACAGCUUAAUAACAUAUCUAUUGUAACGGAUCUGCUUCGUUUCGCUCAAGUCUUUUCGCAAAUGAUACACGUAGGCGUUGACCUGGAUCUUUCUCAAGUAUUGAACGUGCUAGAAGCAAGUGUGAUAGAACUAGAUAGGAACAAAGCGAAAAUCCAAAAUCCAGAUCCUAAGGACGAUACUGAUCAAUAUGCCGAAGAAAUGGAAUCGAAUAUUACAACGACUCUGUAUAUCCUGACGAUUUUGACAAAACUCAUGACGCUCAACGGGAGCAGAUGCGACGAGUCAGAUUUGACGCAAGCGCAUCAUCUGGUGCAUAAAUUAUGCGCGUUACGAGUGUGCUUGAAAGACGGACAAACCCUGUUGCAUCUCGCAGUGAACGCCGAAACUCCCGUCGACGACUUUCACACUAACGACGUGUGCAAGUACGUCGCAAAUGCGCGAUACUCAAGUUUCCAUGCGCAGCUACGACGAGGCUGUUGAUUCGUUGUGGCGCCGAUGUGAACGCGAUGGAUAAUAAAAGAAAUACCCCGCUUCAUAUUAUUGUCGGUUACAGUAAAGCGAUUAGCGAUUUCGCAACUUUACAUUCGAUUAUAAUAGAACUGAUAGAGGCAGGUGCACAUAUGGAUACCGUAAA